AUUUAGGCGCCACGUUGCAAGUGGAAGCCGCAAGUUGGAGCCGACUUGAAUAUAAAACCCAGUUCUGAGAGCGUGUCGGUGACAUCUCCACCCCGCUGUAAUGUCGUAAUGAAGACCAUGAAAAGAAGAUUAGCCCAGGCUGUUAGCGUGGACUGUCUGGGGAGCGCCGCCAUGGGACUGCGGGACCUGCGCCUGUCGUGUGAGCUGGCGCCCUCUGGCUCAAUACGCAGGAGAACUCCAAUGAUGAUCUGAGAGGGACUGCACACACCUGGUAUCAGCUACAAACCCGACUCCUGCGCCACGUCUCCCAUUUAAAAUGCAAAUCCCAGAGGCCUAAUGCAAGAAUGAGGUUAAUUAAUCCCAGAGGACAGAGCGAGUGAGGAAGGGGGCUCCUCAGCCCCCGAGAUCUUCCCUCCAUAAAGGUCAUUCUUCACAAUAAGAGAGCAGCGCAUGCAUUGCCCCUCUGUGAACUUCCCAUCACAUCCCCUCAGAACAUCUCAUCUGAUCCCUUCUUUCAAUCCGUGGAACCAAAUGGCCCGGGAACACACUCCACUGAGACUUGAAGUGCUAAUGGUGAGCGUGGACCGCCGGCGCCGCGUCACCCACAGAUCUGUGACAAACCAGCCUCAGAGGCCGCAGAGUCUGGUGCUAAAUGUCCGCUGCCGGCAAGGCGUUAUUUGCGUCCCGACGUUCGCCGCUAAAGACUGUCUGCAGGCUGGAGUGGCGUGACUGCGGCCCC